UGAAGGGAUAGGAGGGACCCCACUCGAAGCCAGCUCAGUGGCCUGGGGUGCUGGACUGGGGAGGGGAGGCGUCAGUCCCUCUGUAUGGGUCUUUGGAACUACCUGAAGGAGGACCUUUGUCAUCUGUCUCCCUUCAGGGAAGAAAGACUGGGAUUCUUGGCCACUCAUUUUAGACCCUGGGACUGGCAAGUGCCCUCAGAUUCACUCUCUCUCUUUCUGCCUCUCUCCCUCCCUCCCUGGCUUCAGAUGCAUUCCCCAAACAGAAAGAGCCUUUCAAGGCUGUUGGGCUGGAGGACAAGGGCAGCUCUGGAUCACAGAAGAAGCAAGGCUCUGGGAGGAAGGAGAGAGGCUCCCGUCUGGCCCUAAACACAGGUCUUUUCACAGCUCCUGUGGUGCUGGCUAUAACCACAAAAGCAGGAAAGGGAGACAGGGCAGGGCUGGCUUUGGCAGCCGCACUGGUUUCUGUGUGACUGCGCUCCCUGCGCUGGCAGCAUAGCCUCAGGUCUGCGAUCGGAGUCUGUGUCCUCCUCCCGCUAAACCAGUGCCAUCUGACGUGGCAGGCUAUGUGCAAUGAACAAACGAGCCCUCCCCUUCUUUAAUGGAAGAAAAACGAAAAUUCAAAGACAUUAAGUAACAGGUCCAAGUUACUUAAACUGCUAAGCAAGUGGACUUCUAUUAGUUUUGUUUACUAUUCAGUUUUCUUCAUCGAGCUUAUCAACAAUCCAUGUUCCUUAGUCAGUUGACCACAUAUUUCCCAUUCUGUAUUGUUCAUUGUUUGGAUUUUGAUUGGGGUUGGUUUUUUUUUUUUCUUUCUGGUAUAAUUUACAUUCUGUAAAAUGUACAACUCUUAAGUAUACAGCUCAAUGACAGACACACACCCAUGCAGCCUGCAUCUGGAUAGAAGUAGAAAACAUUUCCAUCAUUUUAGAAAGUUCUUUCACGCCUUGUUCCAGUCAACAGCCACCCUCACCACAACAGAGCAGACAGUGGUUGCUUCCACACAGAGCUGUUAACUCCUGCACCAGCAAAGACAACAGGUCUUAUUCAAGUCCAAGAAAUACACCCAUUCCAUUUCUUGUCACCAAAUGAUGUAUAAUCACGAAGGAAACAUGCUCUCCUCUUCUACCCACUGGAAGCAACUUGAGCAAGGCCAGCCACCAUGGUUGAGAUGUAAAUAAAUGUGUCUACUCCA